AUGUGGUUAUCUUUAUUUAAUGCCUUUGCUCUUCAAGAUAAUAUAAUUCUGCAUUUGUGUGUUGCUUGAUUCUAAAAGUCCAAGGGAAUUAUGGGUUUCUAUUGACAUUCUUGUCUAUUGGAUUGAUACCCAUUUGGUCAGAUCUUUUCAACUCUUAACUUUUAAAUUUUAUACAUAGGAUAAUCCCUUCAUCUUAUCCCCAUUUCUUU
rnacentral:lncRNA from 1 species